rnacentral:lncRNA from 1 species
CCUUGCCUUCUCAUUGCAGCUGACCAGACACAAACCCUCGCAUGUGCAAUACAGAAGACUCCCCCACUGGAAAAAAAAGAAAAAAGAAAGAAAGAAAGAAAGAAAAAAAAGAUGGAGGGAGGAAGGCUUUAAUUUUGAAUAAUUUCCAAGGACACAGAGAAAAAUGAAGUAUCUGUGAUUUACACUAAAGCUCACAGGCAACUUUCUCUCUCCCUCUUUUUCUUCCCCCACAGAAGCAGUCACGUACAAAACAUUAAAAUAUAAACAGAGCUGCAGUUGCUGAAGCCAGAACCCUUGUCUGAUUUUUUUUAAACUCCGUGUCAUGCUAAAAAAAAAAAAAAAAGAAAAAAAAAAGAAAAACCAACACCGUAUCUGAAAAGCUUAGCACAAUAUAACUAUUAAAAAAAUCUUUUGGUUGGCUUGGUUAGUAGUGUGAGAAUGAAGAAACGUAAAGACUUCCACGUCUCAGGAAUAUUUCAGAUAAAAAAUAAUCUUUUGCGGCUCCCUGCCCGGGCUCCCAGCAGCCUCUUCCCCUUUGUGUCUGAGCUCUGUCCCCUCUGCAGGGCCCCAGCAGACCCCCACCAGGCCUGAUGUGGACAGCUGUUCCCAAGCCCUGCCAGUUAAUCGCUUCUGGGUUUGCACCCUUGAGCUGUGUGCACCAGGACACCCCCACCUACUGGAAGUACUCAGGGACGCAGCCUGGUUCACUGACACAGCCCCCAGCUGCCUGAGGAGUCGGUGAAGCUCUGGCCUUUCCACCUCUUCUGCUGCAAGAGGCCUUGCAGCCUGCUUCCCUGGUGGAAAAAGGAAAGCAGAAACUCUAGGCCUUCCUGCUGGAUCUACACUACUGGGAGAGCCCCGAUAGUGCAAAUUUAAUUGGCAGGGAUUCUAUUAAAUAUGUGACUUUAUUUGGGGUUGCUAAUGAAAUCAAAGGCUUGUUGUAUGACUUACAGUGUGGACAUUAAUUUUUAAGAAUGAUGGGAUAGAAAGUUAGAACGGAAGAGUUUUUCUACCUAAAGAAAUGAGAAUCUAGAAUUUGUGAAAGGGCUGAAUGUUCCUAUCUUGCUGCUUCUGGGACAAACUUUUCCCUGACAUGUAAAACGCCUGCAACUGCCAUGAACAGGAAAGAAAUGGAAAUGGUACUGAUUCACUCAUCAACUCCAGGCAACUUUGUGUGUGUGUGUGUGUGUGUGUGUGUGUGUGUUUAUUUUGAAAUAACUUUAUUCGCAGCCUAACACUUUGCACUGCAUUCAGCAUGACUUAGAAUUUACUUUUGGUGUUGUCCAGCUGCUGCCAAAAAUUGGGUAGAAUCAGAUUGGUAUUCUUUGUUGGUGCCUGGAAUUGUAGCCAGUGGUACAAAGGUGAUGUUGUUCCUUGCUGAGACUUCGUGGAAGAAGGCAAAACUUUGAUCAUCUGCCCUUGCACUUGGGCAGUGUUGAAGGUGAUUGGAGUACAAGUGCCAAUUUGCAGGAACAAUUGUAAACACCUUUGAUACAAAUGCCAUCAUCCCAUUUUUACUGAUUAGAAAAACUUUGCUAUUAAUAGGUGCAAAGUCCAUUUCAGGUAUAAUUGGUAAGGAACUGAGUGCACUCAUGGGAAGAAACCUUGUUUUGUUUUUUGUUCGCUUUUCUUCUUAUCCCCUUUUCUCAGUUUUAUGGCUGGAGACAUGAUUUAUUGCAGCCAUCCAUCUUGGGGGCUCAUCCAUCACACCCGGGUUGCUAGGAGAUUGUGGCAGCAGCUGUUUGCUCUGAAUCAGACAGAAAAGUUGUCAAUCAUCAAAGGCAGGUGAAUAGCAUUAGAAACACGCUAUUGUCAGACGGAAUAAUUAAUCAAAGAGAGAAAAGAUAAUUAAAAAGAUAUGACCCUUGCAAGUACUUGCUCUGGGUUGCCUGUAAAAAAAAAAAAAAAAAAUAGAAAAAAAGAAAAA